rnacentral:rRNA from 1 species
AAAUUGACGGGACCCGCACAAGCGGUGGAUGAUGUGGAUUAAUUCGAUGCAACGCGAAAACCUUACCUACCCUUGACAUGUCCGGAAUCCCGAAGAGAUUUGGGAGUGCUCGCAAGAGAGCCGGAACACAGGUGCUGCAUGGCCGUCGUCAGCUCGUGUCGUGAGAUGUUGGGUUAAGUCCCGCAACGAGCGCAACCCUUGUCAUUAGUUGCCAUCAUUUGGUUGGGCACUCUAAUGAGACUGCCGGUGACAAACCGGAGGAAGGUGGGGAUGACGUCAAGUCCUCAUGGCCCUUAUGGGUAGGGCUUCACACGUCAUACAAUGGUCGGUACAGAGGGUUGCCAACCCGCGAGGGGGAGCUAAUCCCACAAAGCCGAUCGUAGUCCGGAUCGCAGUCUGCAACUCGACUGCGUGAAGUCGGAAUCGCUAGUAAUCGUGGAUCAGCAUGUCACGGUGAAUACGUUCCCGGGUCUU